rnacentral:rRNA from 1 species
UACGUAGGUGGCAAGCGUUGUCCGGAUUUAUUGGGCUUAAAGGGUGCGUAGGCGGCAUUUUAAGUCAGUGGUGAAAUACUUCAGCUCAACUGGAGAGGUGCCAUUGAUACUGGGAUGCUUGAGUACUGAUGAGGUAGGCGGAAUGGACGGUGUAGCGGUGGAAUGCUUAGAUAUCGUCCAGAACACCGAUAGCGAAGGCAGCUUACUAAGGAGUAACUGACGCUGAGGCACGAAAGUGUGGGGAGCAAACAGG